rnacentral:misc_RNA from 1 species
AUGAAGUGAUUCACCCUAUGUUGUUCUAUAUGGAACUGAUAGUUCCUUGGGUUACUUGGUACUAUGCAUAUGUAUGUUUUUACUAUUGCUGGUGUACCAUGUAUUGGGUGUGCUUAUGGUUUGUGGGAAUUGUGGGCAAUUUCUUGUAAACAUUUCAAAAGAUUGGUAUAUAAAUUAGACAACUGAAACUGAAUUGGCAGAAUUUCUUAAAUGAGUCCACCAGCUUAGCUAGUUUUUCAAUGCAUACGUGUAUGGACAGUUAUAUUCGUGUACGCAUAAUGGUUUCAAUUUUGGUUAUACAUACAGACACAUGUCGGUUGUGUAGGAUAUCUGAUUCUUUUAUGCGGCCAUCA